CUGUGUCCCCAGUCCCUGAGUUAGCUGACCGCCAGGGCAGGGAGGCCAUGUUGCUCCACACUUUUUUGAAGAAGGCCUUACCUUGAUUCCAUAUGUUUCAGAAUUAGCUGUGUCAUCUACAAGAGAAGGCCAAAGGUACACAUUUUACAAAUGAAGGAAGAGGCAACCCCAUGGACUGAAAUGUUCUCUGAAGUAGAAUUGACCGCAAUCAGGCCUGGCAGGCCUGGAGCAGAUCCUGACUGCAGCAGAUGAAAAACAGAACAAGACAAUUACAAGACCACGACAUGGCCUCUCAACUAAGUGUGGUUCGAUUUCAAAGAAUCCUGCUUCUACAGUGGAUGGGCACAAUUCUCCUGAGUUGCCAAAUUUCAAGUUACUACAUGUUAAUGCAUUUCGCACAUAUAUUGAUCACAUACCUUGACUACGGAGGUGAUGUUACAAUGGAUGAGGCUCUGUAAUAAAUAAUCACAACCACACAUCAGCCGGAUGAUUAGAGAAAUUCUCCUGGAAAGUAGUUGGUGCUAAAGAACCAUGAAGUGGGCAAAAGUGCAUGUCUGAACGGUUUCAUCACUCACCCUGCAAAUUAGGCUCAUAACUGCCUUCCAGCAAGCAUGUACUAGCAUCAAGAAACAUCUGACUCCCAUUCUGUCAUUCUGUACCCACGUCAUCUUGACUAGACAUCAAUUAAGAGUUUCCUGGAAAACUCGGAACUAUAUUCCUGGAGGAAUAUAAAUACGGUUUUUCAAAGGGAGCUACUCCAUUCUCAGCUGGAGGAAGAGGGGUUAGCCUAUGUGAGUCCAGGAGAACAGAAAGACAAAUGGUUGUAUAAUAUAAGGUAGAGGUUCUGGGCUAUGGAGGGCAGGUAAAGAAACCACUAGAAUGACCAAAGAUAAAGAGAAAGGACAAGAGGACGGACACAGACACUAGCACAAACACAGACACACACAGGCAGAGGAGCAACCCUGGAACUUGCUUCUUGAAGAGACGUAGAUUUGUGCCAGAAACAGAGUGUGGGAGACAGAGCCCACACAGGAGAUGUGUGGUCCAGAGAGGAGUUCAGGAGUUUGGUGAGGAUGUGCAGCAGCGCCCAAGCAGUCUGGCAUUAUCACCCGGUGCAGCAGACUCGGGGCUUACACAGGACGAUGGGAUACCUGCAGAAGUGGGGAAUGGAAGCAUGAGAGCCUGUUCAGAUUGGUGUAGCCCUAAUGACUCCAAAGGUCAGGGCCUAAGAAAGGGUCAACAAAUUGUGCCUUCAAAAACUGUUAAAUGCGGCCGGGCGCAGUGGUUCACGCCUGUCAUCCCAGCACUUUGGGAGGCCGAGCCAGGUGGAUUACCUGAGGUCAGGCGUUCGAGACCAGCCUGACCAACAUAGUGAAACCCCCGUCUCUACUAAAAAUACAAAAAUUAGCUGGGCGUGGUGGCAGGCGCCUGCAGUCCCAGCUACUCAGGAGGCUGAGGCAGGAGAAUCGCUUGAACCCGGGAGGCAGAGGUUGCAGUGAGCCGAGAUCAUGUUACCGCACACCAGCCUGGGCGACAGAGGGAGACUCCAUCUCAAAAAAAAAAAAAAAGAACUGUUAAAUCCAUUAAAAAUGUACUCCCAACCAACAAUGGCAGUCAUGGGUCUGAGCCAAGUUUACUGAACUUACAAUCCUGCCAGCCAUAGAGUUUGUGUCAUAUACUUCCCUCACACUGAAAGUUACACAAAUCUUAGUACCUGGGAAGACAGAGAAAGCCAAAGAGCUGGUCUUCUCCCAUAUAUGUUCACAGCUGCGAAUGUGUUAGGCAGAAUUACCCUUUAUAAAGUAGAGUGCAGCACCCCAGAAGCAUAGGACAAUGGACAGGUAAGUUUUGAUGUGCAGAGAAGGAGGAAGAUGUCCAUAUCCUAGAGAUAUCGUGAAAAGUGGUACUCUUGACUGUGGAUCGAGUGCUAAGGUGAAGAGGAAAGGGGGCCUCAAUACAUACAGUCCAGGAUUUCGGCCAGAUGCAUGCUUCCAUCACGCCUUCCCAGGCCUGACUCAUUACCCAGCCAGGGGACCCAGAACCUGGAUAAGAGGAAUCUAUACACAGAAGAGCACAAGUCUACCUGGAUUUCAUCCGGUGCGUUCAGGAAAUGGCUUGGGAGAAGGUUUGGAAGCAUUCCGACAUUGUUGACUGGC
rnacentral:lncRNA from 1 species